rnacentral:rRNA from 1 species
AUGGAGAAAAUAUCUUAUGCCAAGUACCUGCAUUUGCACAACCGAAGCCUAGAGAGCAGGUUCUUCUUGGGGUUCCCCUCGUUCUCUAGCCUGACGCGGCUCGUGCUGCAAGGGCCCCUUGAUAGUUGCGGCAUUGUCGUAUCAGUGGGUAGAAUCCUGGAGCAGACCCCGAACCUGGAGAUUCUGUCGCUGUGCAUGGAAGAACGCGUUAAGGACACCGAAGAUCAAUAUGGCACCAUGGGCGAGGAAUAUGAGGAUGAUGUUGUGGAGAAGGAGAUGGAUGCGGUGAGCGAUGAUUUGUUUGUAGCUCCCGACGAGUUCAUGGUUCCUGAUGAGGCAAGCUUCUCGAUGCCGUGUCUGCGGCACCGAGUGAAGGAGAUCAACAUGGUGCACUACGUGGGCGACGAGACACAGAGGAUGAUGGCCAGGCUGUUGUUCCGCAACGCGCUUGUGCUUGAGAGGAUGUGUGUCGUCCUUGUGAAGGGGACGUUCGAGUUGCAGUCUAAGCUCAAGAAUGAGAUUGAUAGCUGGGUAGUGGCCGAUGUAGAAAAGAUUUUCCUGUGA